UACGGGGGGAGCAAGCGUUGUUCGGAAUUACUGGGCGUAAAGGGCUCGUAGGUGGCCAACUAAGUCAGACGUGAAAUCCCUCGGCUCAACCGGGGAACGACGCAUGAAACUGGCAAGCUAGAGUACCAAAGAGGGGGGUGGAAUUCCCGGUGUAGCGGUGAAAUGCGUAGAGAUCGGAAAGAACACCAAUGGCGAAGGCAGCUCGCUGGGACGGUACUGACGCUGAGGCGCGAAAGCGUGGGGAGCGAACAGG
rnacentral:rRNA from 1 species